rnacentral:tRNA from 1 species
GGGAAUACAGCUCAGUGGUAGGGCUCGUGCUUGGCAAGCACAAGGUCCUGGGUUCAAUCCAGUGCCUCCA